GACGAACGCUGGCGGCGUGCCUAAUACAUGCAAGUAGGACGCAGUUGCGAACGGGUGAGUAACGCGUAGGUAACUACCUAUUAGAGGGGGAUAACUAUUGGAAACGAUAGCUAAUACCGCAUACUAGUAGAUGGACCUGCGUUGUAUUAGCUAGUAGGUAGGGUAAUGGCCUACCUAGGCAACGAUACAUAGCCGAACUGAGAGGGUGAACUGCCAACCUGGAACGUGGACACGGGCCAGAAACAAACGGGAGGCGGCAACAGGGAAGUUUCGGGAAUGGGGGGAACCCUGAGCGGGCAAACCGGCGGGAGUGAAGGAGUGUUUCUGAUCGUAAAGGUCUGUUGUAAAGGAAGCGGUACUUAAGCAAAAAGGGAAGGCUAACUACGUGCCAGCAGCCGCGGUAAUUC
rnacentral:rRNA from 1 species